GGGGGAUCAAGGUGUGCAGUUUCAUAACCAUGUUCGACUUCAAGCUUUGAUCCUGUGCCAUUGUUGUAGCAGUCCAAAACAGAUUUUGCACGCAAGCCCAGUGAGUCGAAACAAGUUUGCCAAUUCCGAUGCCUUCCCUCAAUGGCUAGGAACUCAAUGCAGUAUAUCAAAGCAUAAUAUUUGUUCACAUCAUGCCAGACAUUGAUGGCACAGGCAUGAAUAGUAUUUAACUCGCAUUCAUCAAGACCGUUCUGACAAACCAUGGAAUUGUCAACUCUGUUGAUAUGAGCAUUACCCCAAGGUACCAUCCUGAGACUGAUGAUGUCAAUGAGGCCAUUAUUGAAUAUACUCAUGAGGUUCUUGACAAUGAAAUUUGCACAAGAUGUACAAAGAGUUUCAUAGUAGACAGAAAGAUUAACUUUAACAGAGGUAGAAGCCUUCACAUCCGAAGAAUAAGAGGCAACAGUGGAUGGAGAUAAGAAGAACAACAGGAAAGGAAUGAAGAAUAAGAAGACUAAUGAUUUCCAGCAGCAAGUCAUUUUUUGUCAAUGUAAUACACAGCAAAACAGAUGGCUUCUUUA
rnacentral:misc_RNA from 1 species